rnacentral:rRNA from 1 species
AUUGAACGCUGGCGGCAGGCCUAACACAUGCAAGUCGAGCGAGCGGCGGAAGGGUGAGUAAUGUCUGGGAAACUGCCGGAGGGAGGGGGAUAACUACUGGAAACGAGAGGUAAUACCGCAUAAGAUCAGAUGUGCCCAGAGGGGGUUAGCUGGAAGGUGGGGUAACGGCAAACCUAGGCGACGAUCCCUAGCUGGUCUGAGAGGAUGACCAGCCACACUGGAACUGAGACACGGCCCAGACUCCUACGGGAGGCAGCAGUGUGGAAUAUUGCACAAUGGGCGCAAGCCUGAUGCAGCCAUGCCGCGUGUGUGAAGAAGGCCUUCGGGUUGUAAAGCACUUUCAGCGGGGAGGCGUUACCCGCAGAAGAAGCACCGGCUAACUCCGUGCCAGCAGCCGCGGUAAUAC